rnacentral:rRNA from 1 species
GAUGAACGCUGGCGGCGUGCCUAAUACAUGCAAGUCGAGCGCAUAAAGUUGGUUCUUGCACCGAUUCGGUGAGCGGCGGACGGGUGAGUAACACGUGGGUAACCUGCCUUUGAGCGUGGGAUAACAUCUGGAAACCAAUGCUAAUACCGCAUAAAAACUUUAAACACAAGUUUCAAGUGUGAAAGAUGCAUUUGCUUACCCCAAUGAUGAUCACCCGUUGGAUUAGCUAGUUGGUUAGGAAAAGGCCUACCCAGGCGAGGAUUCAUAGCGGGCCUGAGAGGAUGACCGGCAAAACUGGAACUGAGAAACGGUCAAGACCCCUACGGGAGGAAGAAGUGGGGAAUUUUGGCAAAUGGGCGAAGGCUGGACGAAGAAAGGCCGCGGGGGGGAGGAAGGUCUUCGGAUGGAAAACCACGUUGAUUGGGGAGGAAGUGAGGUAGAGUGAAAAGUUCAUGUAUUGACGGUAACUACACAGAAAGCGACGGCUAACUACGUG